CCAUCUUUAUGCAUUCAUGUGAAGACGAGACAAGGAGAAAACGACGGAUAACCAGAGGGAAAGCGCGUGCAAGUGAAACGGAGGAAAGGAAGAAUGAAUGAGAUUCACUGAGAAACGUUGGCGACUGGAGUAAUCAAGCCAAGCUGUGAAAGCCUUGGACUGAGUUGCCAUAGCAACGGGACGUCAUCGCUCGCGAGCAGAUUGCGGAUGCUGUCGCUCCCCGCCGUGUUGCUCGCCGUUCCAGACCCUAAAGCGGGAACAGGUUCUCCCUCAGCAAGAGGGUGCGAGGGGAGCGUCACCCCACCCCCUCCCCCUGCCCUGUCCGUGCUCCUCCCGUCCCA